CCCGGCUGCCCGCCGCGCGAGUGCGGGUGCAGGUGCCGGGAGCGCGGGUUGGACCCCGCUCCCCCAGCCGGCCGGUGCCUACGGACUGCGCGUCGGCUGGGCAGCCUCCGGAGUCCUCGGUGUGCGGGCGAGGCAUCUCAAAAAUGACUUUUGCAAUUCCGUGUGGCUUUGGUGACUCUGGUAAAAGAAAAUAUUUAACUGCAAGUAAUAGUUUUUCAAAUAGUAGCAAUAUAUACACCAUAUUAUAUGUAGAUCUACAGAUUCCCAAGAAAGGCCUCAAAAGGACAAAACAGUAAACACUUCCUGAAAUUUUCCUAAGUCUUGAAAGGAAAUCUGAUUUCAGGUCAGUUCAUAAAGUCCUAAUUUUCAUGAACUACUUUUAUUGUGAUAUAAAUGCCUAAAAACUUUUUAAAAGAGCCCAAGCUUGUGUCUCACUUCAGUCAGUACAUUUGUAUUGGGACAUACAUGCCUCAAAGAGCUAAAGUUUGUGUCUGACUUAUAAUUUGCCAACUAAAAAUGCCACACACAUACAUAAAGAAUGAAGCCACCAUUGUCCUGAAAAACCUUACACCUCAGAUCGAUGGCUCCACCCUGCGCACCCUGUGCAUGCAGCAUGGCCCGCUGAUAACAUUCCACCUGAACCCCAGCACGGAAGCGCUCUGGUCCGCUACAGUUUGAAAGAAGAGGUAAUGAAGGCACAAAAGUCUCUGCACAUGUGUGUACUGAGGAACACUACUAUCCUUGCUGAGUUUGCCAGUGAAGAGGAGAUCAGUCGUUUCUUUGCACAGGGUCAGUCCCUGACCCCUUCUCCUGGCUGUCAGUUUCUCGGGUCCAGCCAGAGUCGGCUGGACUCCCUCGACUGCUCCCACGCGUUCUCCAGCCAGACCGAUCUCAACCACUGGAAUGGUGCUGGGCUGUCGGGAACCAACUGUGGAGACCUUCACGGCACUUCCCUCUGGGGGACCCUGCACUAUUCCACAACCCUGUGGGGUCCCCCAAGCAGCAGUGACCCCCGGGGAAUUAGCAGCCCCUCCCCCAUUAACACGUUUCUUUCUGUUGACCACCUGGGUGGGGGGGACAGUCCAUGUGAAGCUGGAGGUGUAGCCUCCACCCGCGACCUCAAGACGCGAAGGAAAGGAGCACUAAGCUGGGCUCGCCGCCUGCAGCCAGGGCCACCUGUGGGAACAGCUCUUCUCUGCACAUUCUCCACUUUGUGUUCCCCGAAACAUAUCAGUUUGAAUACUUGAAUCAUGCAGGUCAAUAUUAUAAUGUGAACGGUAUCUAUUUACACUCCCAAGUGGCGCCAUACAUCCUAACCGGAUAGAGUGAGCUCACUUGUGCAUACUCAUCAUGUUUCGCCUUUGGAUUCAUUCAUUCUUUUUUUCUCUCCCCACCCCCUCUUUUGCAAAACUAUUUCUUGAGCUGAUAAUGUAUGAGCUUUUACCUUUGCACUGAAUGUUCUCCGUCUAAUCGGAAGUAUGGGGGGCAACUAUUCCAGUGUAAAUGUUUACUCAAGGAUGUUCUAAAAGGUGUGCGCUCUACUAUGCCUUGAUGUUGCCUACCUUUAUCGUGAUAUCGCAGAGUUUAAAAGAUCAAGCGAUGAUACUGACUUAGGAUUAUUAAUGAAAGUAUUGCACCAGUUUUUUCAUGUUGUAAAACUAAAGAAUUUCGCUCUGCAGUUUGAAAAACUGUGGCCACAGCUGUGAGUUGCAGCCCACCUGCCACCCAGGACGGGCCCUGCACUUUGAAUAGGCUUUUCCAUUUUGUUUUGAAGGUUCCCAUGUUGAGCCUUCUUGUUUACAGAUUUUUUGUUUGUUUUUUGAGAAAAAGUGUUUACUCUUCCAUCAUUUAAAAAAAAUUUAAAAGACAAAAAAAUGGAGGAUGAUUUAAAAGAUGCUUUCUAUCUCUGGGAAAAAGGAGCAGCAUUUGGCCAUGUACUUUUGUUUUUCUAUUCCUGUCCUAAAUCAAAGAGCAUGGUUCUCAGGAAAACCAGUUGCCCAGUUUAAAAAAAAAAAAAAAUCUUGUAGUUUCUUAUAGGAAAAGAAGAAAACCCCCAACUUUUAGCACUGAUACUACAUAUCGCUGUUAAAAGAAUUUUCUCUGCCACAAAAAAAGAAAAAACAAAAAAAAGCUUAAAGCUGGAGUUUGAUGUUCUGCUUUCAGAUGCUGUCUUUUUAUUAGUGAGUGAUGAUGGUUUGCUAAUAAUCAAUAGGUAAUAGUUUUUGUAACCCAUCAAGUGGCUCUCUAUGUUCCUGCUCUCGUGACUGUGUCAAUGUCUAACUGUUGUACCUUAAAGCCGAAAUCAGUAACUAUGCAUACUGUAACCAAGGUAUUGGGCUUACAGAGUUGUUUGUUGUAUAAAGAAAAUUUUAAAUGUUGUUGCAAACUAACGAGUUACACCAUUUUUAAAUUUCUUUCCUCCCCCUUUCGUUGCCCACAAAUGGUAUUAUAAUGUUUGCUUAGUCAAAGAAGAGACUAAAGAAGGGUAAAAAUUUUAACAGUACAGAACUUGCCAUCAUUUCAUUGCCUUGAUUCUAACUGUCUGUGUCCUAAGAUGCAAAAGAAGUCAGUGGCUUUAACUGUUUACAAAUAGAAUGUGAUUGUAAAAUGUACAGUUUGGUUGUGUUUGAAUUAUGAAAUUUUCUUCAGAUAUAAUAAACCAUGACUUUUUGGCUGCUCAACAUUAAUUGUCUCUUUUUUGUGAGUUUAUUUGUAGGCUCUUUUUUAUAGUGAAAGUUUCUAAGUUGCUAUGUAUGAGGUUCUCAUAGAACAACCAGUUAAAAAUCUAAGCAAAUAUUUGAACAUUUUAUCUGAACUCAUCCGCAAUUUCACCCUGAGAUAAUGUGAGAACAAUGGGAAACUGUAGCUUGCUCCUUCCUGCCCUCUGAGCAUCUUUGGGCCCCUGCUCCCCACAGACUCUGUGACUUCAUCUUCCCCACCAUUUGUGCCCAUCUCAAGCCUCAGCCAGACCGCCCGGACCUGGAGCUUAUGACCUGACGGUGUGCUCGUGCUAGCUCAGACCUCUGUCACGCAGUGGGGACGCGCGCCCGGCCGGCCUGCUCUGCUCUACUCUGCUCUGCUCUGCUCUGCUCUGCUCUGCUCUCCCCUCGCCCCGGCCCGCGCGGGGUCAGUAGGGCAGCGCCUGCGUUGCGUUGCGGAGUGUGACUCCAGACCGCGCUCCGGCUUGCAGGGUGUGAGCUAAUGUUGUUGGACACCUUCCUAGAAACAAAUGUUCAGUGCAUUCGGUGUAUAUUGACUUCCAUACUGGUUUUUCCAAAAACCAAAGGUAGCUUUGAAAAACUAUGUCUGGAGAUGUUUGGAUCUAACGGUAAGCUGAUGAUGGGGCUUUGAGUAGUAUACAAUGACUUCAUAACUGCGUUACUUGUAUUGUUAAAGUGUUUGAGAGGUUUUUGCGCUUGUUAUGUGGAAAUAAAGUGUUUGAUUUUGAAAAAAAAAAAAAAA